rnacentral:rRNA from 1 species
GACGGAGGGGGCUAGCGUUGUUCGGAAUGACUGGGCGUAAAGGGCGCGUAGGCGGUGCUAUAAGUGAGGCGUGAAAGCCCUGGGCUUAACCCAGGAGGUGCGUUUCAUACUGUGGUGCUAGAGUGCGAGAGAGGAAAGUGGAAUUCCUAGUGUAGAGGUGAAAUUCGUAGAUAUUAGGAAGAACACCAGAGGCGAAGGCGGCUUUCUGGCUCGCAACUGACGCUGAGGCGCGAAAGCGUGGGGAGCAAACAGGAUUAGAUACCCUGGUAGUCCACGCUGUAAACGAUGAGUGCUAGACGUUGGAGGUCAAACUUCAGUGUCGCAGCUAACGCAAUAAGCACUCCGCCUGGGGAGUACGGUCGCAAGAUUAAA